rnacentral:tRNA from 1 species
GGGGUUGUAGCUCAGUGGGAGAGCGCUUGCAUCACACGUGUGAGGCCCUGAGUUUGAUCCUCAGCACCACA